CGAGUAGUAGCGUAGUCAGGUCAACGCACUUGCUUUGGGAGCAAGAGGUCGCUGGUUCGAAUCCAGCCUACUCGACAA
rnacentral:tRNA from 1 species